rnacentral:rRNA from 1 species
GAUGAACGCUGGCGGCGUGCCUAAUACAUGCAAGUCGAGCGAACAGACGAGGAGCUUGCUCCUCUGACGUUAGCGGCGGACGGGUGAGUAACACGUGGAUAACCUACCUAUAAGACUUGGAUAACUUCGUGAAACCGGAGCUAAUACCGGAUAAUAUAUUGAACCGCAUGGUUCAAUAGUGAAAGACGGUUUUGCUGUCACUUAUAGAUGGAUCCGCGCCGCAUUAGCUAGUUGGUAAGGUAACGGCUUACCAAGGCAACGAUGCGUAGCCGACCUGAGAGGGUGAUCGGCCACACUGGAACUGAGACACGGUCCAGACUCCUACGGGAGGCAGCAGUAGGGAAUCUUCCGCAAUGGGCGAAAGCCUGACGGAGCAACGCCGCGUGAGUGAUGAAGGUCUUCGGAUCGUAAAACUCUGUUAUUAGGGAAGAACAAAUGUGUAAGUAACUAUGCACGUCUUGACGGUACCUAAUCAGAAAGCAACGGCUAACUACGUG